GCCUCAAUGAGUGUAAAGUGUCUCAUGUCGCAACAAAGUCUCUAGGACCUAGUGUAAGAGGAUUUCGGCAAGUGAGUCUGAGGUGAAACCCGGCUCAUCUCCGCCUCCCUGGGCAAAGAUCUAAACUUGAGAUUAUGGUAACCAUCAUUACACAGGAGGCAGACGGAGAAAACUACCACUCUUGGACUUAGGCAGACAGUGUUUAGUUGUGUUGGGCUGAUGAAAGCCUCCCUGGAUCUGCAGCGGGGGCGGAGAAUACACCCAUUAUGAGGAUGAACCUCCAGACAUUGUCUGAGCCAUCAUUACAGAGGAGAUCCCAAAUGAACAGGUGGUCUUCAACAACACCAUCUAGAAGAAGCAGAAGCAAAUCUUCCCUCCACCUUCUCCCCAUGAAGACACGAUUACGUUCCGGAACCUCCGAAAGACCGCAGUGUGGAGAGACCACCCGGGUACGACAGUGGGGGGUGCGACACGUGCAGGAGGGCGUCAGCCUGGGACCCAAACUUGUGCGCAGUCACUGGCACUAGGGAUGAAGAGAGCAGGAGGAGGACGGAUGUGGGAGCAGCGGACCAGAAGGUCUGGCCUCAGACGAGUGGCGGGCGGCAGCUGCACUGUCUGUAAACUGACGUAGACCAAUACCAUGGACAAAGGAAUGAUAAAAAUAACGGCGGAGAACUGGACGCCGCUCUCUGUAUCUCAGCAGAAAUAUUGUAAGUGGAUAUGAAAUGUUCAGAGAUGCUAGCAACCGCUUGUCCUCAGCAAGAGGUGGCGCUACCGUGCGAACGUGAUUCGCUUUAUAUUUCCAAUGAAGAAGUCCUGAAGAAGGUAUGAGUGAGGGUGACAAUGCAGGAGCCAAACUGAAUCUAUGGACAACAAAGGUGAAGUGGGAGGGGCUUAAACAGCGACAACUUUUUGAGGUGCCAAACGAUUCUGGAGGUGAAAGAGAGCCGUGUGGGCCCCUCCCUGCUGGUGUGCCAGGUUUGAUCCAGACCGGAGCCAAUAACAACCUUCUUCCACACACAGACUCACCCCGGGACGCAUUCUCUCGGACCACGUCACCACGGCAACAGCAGCAGGAGAUGAGCAAGCUGGGCUCGGUGGCUGUCCCUGUCAAAAGGCAGUUCCUGUAAGAAGGGGGAGGGGGGCUCUCGUGUUUUGAAAGUCCUGCUGUCACUUGUUUUCGAAACAAUAGUGAAGACUGACUAUCUCUGCACCUUAAAAACUGAAGGAACAAUCGUGCAAAACAAUCGCUACAUUCAUGUACAGCUAUCAAUGCUUGGCAUGAAUCAGCAGUCAGAGGCAGAAUCUUCAGUGUUGAGCGCAAGAAUCACAGAACGGCGAUGUUCCCACAUGUCAGGAGUAAUAACAACGCUCUCAAUCUGUCAGCGCAAACAGCGAGCGGCUAACAGUGAUCAUCUUUCAUCAGGCUGUUGCGCCGAUGUGAAGCGAAACAGUGUUUAUCAGCAGUGACUCGCGCCCAUCGGCCACAGCCACUUGGGAAUGCAGAUUUGAGUCGGGAGAGGCGACAGAUUUGUCUUGACGCUAAACAUCUGCUGGGCCAGAGCGCGACAGUUUUUGGCAGGAACGGCGAAGAAUUUUAUGAUGACUCGGGAAAAUAUGUGUUCAUCUUUUAUUAUUGUUGUCCAAGGGGAAGCUAGUGCUCGUGAAUACGACGGGAAACGACUGAAGGUUCGCAGCAGAAAUGCCUCUCUGCCGCUGAGUCAGGGCCGCCUGAGUCAGAAGGCAGCAGGAUGGAGGUGGGUUGUGGGUUCCUUACAACUGGUGAGUCAGCUGUGAAAUUGCAACCUCAUUGCUAAGUUGUGGGGAAACAAAAAACGUCACGGUCGCCAAAACUUAGUUUGGAGAAUACACUGACAGUAGCUGCUGACAGCAAAGGUGUCACUGUAAUGUAUUAAAAAGAUUUCUCUCUCGCAGUCCUCAAGUGCUCAAACAUCAUCUAUGGAAAACUUUUGUUACUGAUUUCAUUGGUCUGUUUUUGAGAGUGAAUGUCAGCGGCCGCCUCAGGUGCGGCACUUAAAGUAGAUCUUAUUAUACAGUGCAAUGACAAUAAAACAGAACGCAGAAGGCUGCCUUUUUUUGCAAAAGUCCACUUUCCCAACGUCCAUAUAUGACGCCAUGGAUGUGAGGAUGUGCUGGCUGCUUGUGUGAGAGCACGGAAGCUGGCGAGUUAUGUGACAAAUAAGUCAACAAAUCCAACAAGAUACAAACUGCUGCACAAAUUUGGAAUUUCUGAUCCCUGCGUUUCACUUCUUGCCAGCUUGACGCUCGUGACUAAAGUGCCCCGAGUGUGUGAGCGCAGCAGCAGCAGCUAACA